UGGAGUCUUUUCUCCAAGUCUGGGCAAAUGGAUGCAGGGAUAAUGCAGCCAAGAGAAUGCCCUCAUGUAAAUUUGCAGGUCAGCUCCAUGUGUAUGAGUACACAUGGAAAAAAAAGCAAACUGUGCAUUAGCUGAGCAGGAAAUUGAGGCUCAGACUGACUGUGAAGUGAAAGUAGAGGAGCAAAGUGUAGAAGAAAAAGCAGUGAUUAGGAGAGAUGAAGAUGCUUUUUGCUCACCUCAUGUGAAGUGGACUGAAAUCCUGAACUCAUGUCCUGAAACAACAGAAAUGAACCUACAAUUAGGUGGGGAAAGUGAAACUAAUCACAGGGGAUCCCUAGAGCAAGCUGAUAGAACUGAUAGAAGACUUGUGGAGGGGACCCUGCAAAUAGACCUAGGUAGAGCAAAUCAGCUUCAGCAGUGUGAGCUCUCAGAGGAAGAAAAAAGCCCUUUGGAAGUCCUGCAAAAGAGUUCUAUGCUUCAAGAUAUAGAGUCAGAACACAUGAGGGAAGCAGUGUGGGGUGCAGUCCCUGCAUUCACACAGGGCCAGAAGCACGUGCAGGUAUGUCCACAAGAACUUGUUUCAGGGAGCCAGAGCCCAGACAGCAAAAGACAAAUUCACACUGGUUUUAAGAAGGUCAAUGAUAAGAUCAUAAAAAUUACCUGUGACUCGCUUGAGGCUGUGGAGCAAGAAAGUUCAUCCUUGGUUUUGCAGCAGGAAUGGCAAAAGAAGGGGACAGCUGCCUUGACAUGGCAUGUUGCAUCUUCAUCCCAUGAGUCUGGCUGCUUAUCCUCCGACAGUGAUGAUGACCCCAAAUCUCACUGCAGUCAAUAUCCCUCCCAGCAUAGGCCUCAGGGAGCAGAUCAUUCUGACAGACAUCUGGAUCUCUCUGAAAAUGAUUAUGUUAGUGAUGAGCCCAGUGAAACUGAACCUACGUCCAUGAAAAGGAACAUCAGUUUGUCCUCAAGGAAACAAGAUAUUCAAGUGCUCUCAAGACAGCAAAGUCUCUCACUCAGCACAAGCAGCAGUGAUUCCAGCACUAGAACUGGAGGGAGCAAGUGUUCUGUAUUUCAUCUCAUGAAAUCCAAAAGGGGAGAGGAUGAACUUGAAUCAAAGGCCAAGUACGUUAAAAGCCUUGAUCUGCCAUCCUCAGUGGUGGCUUUGGGGAUUAAAGGAGGCCCUGCAGUGAAGCAACCACAGAAUAAACUGCCUACAAAUGUGUUAGCAGAAACCCAGAGCAUCCUUUCCAGUGCAUUAGAAACUGGUGUAUAUCAUGGAGGAACCCUUUCAUUGACAAGAGCAGAAGAAGAACAGGACAAAGCAAUGCAUUUUCUCAGAAGACAAGUGGACCAACUUAAGACUGUCAGGGGCCAGGAGCUGGUUCAUCCAUUGCAAUACAACGGAGAUCAAACUGAUCCACUACAGAAGGAAGAAGUUAUGCAUAGCAAGCUCAAAGGAACACCUAGAGUCACUGGAGGAAGUGUGAAAUCAGAGGAAAUACAAAUAUUAAAGCAACAGAUUACAGGACUGCAGGAGGAGUUCAGGAGAAAUGAGUCCUGUUGGCACGCUGCUUAUUGCAAGCUAAGAGACCAGGUUGAGAUGCUGACUAGGCAGAACAUGGAGCUUCGAGUUGAGCUCAGAGGUUCAGAACUGAAGAGGCUGAAAGCAGAAAGAAAAAGAGGAACUGUGAAUUUCACUGAUGGAAAACUACAGACACCGGUUGCAGAAGCUAUCCUGCGAGAGACAACAUCUUCAUCCAUACAAGAAGAGAGAUCAUGGAGAGAGAAGCAUGAGAGUUGUAUCACCUCUUCUGUGGGGCCAAAGGCAGCUAUGCAGAAACACUGCUUCAGAGAUAUCAAUAGCAAAGCAAUAAAAAGCUCUGUGCAGAAGGCUGAUCCAUUGAGAAUGGUAACAAAGGAACAUCAAGAAAAGAAAACAUCUCGCUGCUCCCUUGGCAGGAGCACAACACCAACUGGCAGGACAACACCUCACCAGGGAAGAGUGACACCUUUUGAAUUAGAAGAAGUUAUGUAUCAACCCUCUCCUACUGGGAGAGGAACAGAUGAGAGGAAAUCACCUGGAGCUCGCUCACAACUGAGUGUUUCUAAGGGGCAUAAGUCAUCUUCUUAUGAAAAAGGCACACCUUCACCCAUUUCAGUUAUCUCAGAAGACAUGCUCCUCUCAAAUAAGCACAGCAAUAACACUUGCAGCUUUGCACUCUGCAGUAACAGUGAGGAAACACAGGAGGAAGAGAUUCAUAACCUUAAAAAGACAGAAAAAAUGUUAAAACCUCAGAAUAAAGUGGCAUUUGCGAUGACCCAAAGGAGAAGUGGCAUAACUGCAUAUGAGAACAAAGUACUUACAAGGAGUUCUCCUACUCUUCUGGAUGCUGAAGCAAAGGUAAAGCCUCCAAAAUCAAUAUUAUCUAGAAGGUCAAUGUUACAUCAAGAAAGAAGGGAAGAUGAGGAUGUUGUGCAGGAAAAAAUAGAGCAUCGUGAUGGAAAGGUUGAAGAGGUGCUUACUGAUGGACGUCGAAUUAUCACUUUCCGCAAUGGUACUAAAAAAGAGAUCAGUGCUGAUAAAAGGAUGACAACAAUUAACUUUUUCAAUGGAGAUGUAAAGAAGAUCAUGCCAGAUCAGAGAGUGAUUUAUUAUUAUGCAGACGCACAGACAACUCACACUGCUUAUCCAGAGGGCCUAGAGGUGCUGCAGUUCCCUAACAAUCAGAUAGAAAAGCAUUAUCCUGAUGGCACACAAGAAAUUGUGUUCCCAGAUCACACAGUGAAAUGCCUCUAUAGCGAUGGAUUCGAGGAAACUUUUUUCCCUGAUGGUACAGUAGUAAAAGUAGAAAAGAAUGGAGAUAAACUAGUGGUAUUCAGUAAUGGCCAGAAGGAGUUUCACACUGCACAGUUCAAGAGGAGGGAGUACCCAGAUGGAACCAUAAAGACUGUGUACUUCAAUGGCAGGCAAGAAACAAAGUACUUGUCUGGACGGGUUCGAAUCAAGGACGAAGAGGGUAAUAUCAUCCUAGAUAAGAAGUGAUUCAUCCCCUCUGUGGCUGCACUGUAUUGGGCCAGACUGCCAAUGCAUCACCAUUCAAAUUGCAGAUCAUCUUUGGAAGAAAUAGAUUGAGCAGAGCAGAAAAAUAAUGUUAGUAUUGAUCAUACUCAUGCUGUUGAUUAUGAAUUGAAUUAUGAUGUUCUAAAUAUCCGAGUAGUUUGUUGUCAGAUGGUGUGGUAAUAACAUUGUACUGUUUUUCUUCUGCUUUCUUACAACAAAGGAGCAAUUUUAAACCUGUGCUCUUCACUACUGAAGCACUUAAUACAUUCUAUAUGUUUUGUAAAAGGAAAGUCUGAUCAAAAGAAAAUCCAAGAGAUUGUUCUUUUGCAUAUGUUUCACUAAGAAUUUCUGCUCAGUGUGGCCUCCAACUAAAACAAGUCUGUGUUAAAUACAAACUUGCCUUCAAUUGUUGAUCACCAUUCAUUUAUCUGCGUAUAUAAUCCUUUAUAAUUUUAAGUUCAAUAAGGAAUGAUUUUGUUUGUGGGCUGCUUGCUCCUUGCUUCAUCAAGCACUCUUCACUCUACUUGCAAGAAAUGUUCUUGCAAUGUUCUUCUGGAAUAAAAGGCUUGCAGUCCCGCAACAUAUAUGACACUUAAGUCAUAUGUGUAGCCUCCUAGAUCUCUGAACGAGUUUUUCAAGCAAUAUUUUAUAGCACAAUAGCACAGGGAUUCUUGAAGUAAGGGGUGCCAUUUAAUUUUGUUAAAAAAGGAGAAGGAAAAAUAUGUAACUAAUGUGCUUUGUCAGGUAAGGAGCCCUUCAUGGACCAUCUACAGCAAGUUAUACUAUUUUUCACAGGCUAAUUCUCACACCUUGUCUCCUUUACCUUCCACUUGCUUUAGGUAAUCAGAAGCUGCUUGUUCUACUAGUUCUGGUGCAGGAACACUAAUAAUCCAAAUUUUGUGGUGCACAUUUACCUUAAUCGUAGCAAUACACUUGCCUACUUUGAAAAAGCCAGCUUACUAUAAAUUUUCUUCAUGUGGCAUGCAGUGAAUGUGUUUUUAUGAAACCUUUGGGGAGGUGCGACUCAGCUGGGAAACCCUAUUUCUCUCCACAGGUCUUCUAAUGCUAGAUGAACCAUGUUACAGCCUGUAUUUGGCCUCAAUUUUGAGACAGAUUUAGGAUGCACUGUGGGUGACUUCUGAGCAGUAACUUCAGUUUCAGACAGCUAGGGGUGGCAAAGGUGUACAAGAAGAGAGUAGUAACCUUAGAAUCUUAAAUGUCUCAGUUCAGUGUUACUUCCAUGCUCAAUUAAUCAGUGGAGAAGUUCUACCGAAAGAAAAACAAAACUGCCUGAUUGCUAUACCCUUCAUAUGGCUAACACAGAGUCUGUGAGACAGAGGUUUGAUUUGCUCUCCUUGAACACAGUAUUUACAGUUUAUAUCCUGUUCUCCAAUAUCAAAUUCAUUUCUCACCUUGGGAAGCCUUCUGUAUCAAGGAGUUCAUUUGGGAAAAAAAUACAAAAACACCACUGCAACAGUGCAUGUCAGUAUGUGUUUUUUAUGACUCAUUUUCCGUAUGAAUUUCUGCAGAAUCUUACAGGUCAUAAAAUGAAAGUUGUUUCAUAUUGUUUCAUACAGUGCAAAAUUAACCUGUGGAAAGCGAUGCCAGGCAGCUCGCUGGAUUGUUCUAAAAUGUUAUUGUUUUUUGUAAUUCAUAUCGCUUGCAUCUUUGUAAACUGAGGGCAUAUUGAAUGUCUCCCUGGUGUAAUUUUUUCAAGUCAUAAAGCCGGGAAAAGAAAAGAAGAAAAGAUUUCUGAGAUGAAUAAUAAAUGAAGACAGGUACUCCUGAGGAUGUUUUG